UGUUAAAAAAAAUCCAUCAUCGCAGUGGAGGUCGAAGCUGAAAAAUGGUUGGAAAUCACCUUCACUCUUUGAGGACCAUCACCCAAGAAAAAUCUUCAGUUAGCCAAUUGGACGUUGUUGAUCAAUAGAUCUGUUGUGCAUGAGGUGGCCACGUACGUUAGCAAGGCGACGGAGAAGUUGCAGACCAAAAAGUUCUGUUCUUUGAGCAAAAAACGAAACUUCAAUCAAAAGUAGGAUAUUGGUUAGGGGAUUUGGGCCAAGUGUCAAAAACUAGCGGUGAUUGAAGAGAAUUUGAUUGAGGAGGUGCAUGUUAGCAAGACGGCGGAGGAAAAUAGUCUCGAAGAAAUAGAAGGAAAAAUUUGGUGACUUUUUUUUUAUUUUUUAUAUUUUUUAUGCUAAUGUGGGAUGAAUAAAUGAGAUGAGAAGUGGCAAAACAUUAUUAAGAAGGGCACCAUAGCAAGAUAGGGUGGUGGAGGAAGUUGGUGGUAAACCGGUGAUAUAAGCGGCGACAACGACUGUUUUGGAGUAUUGGUUGGUUAGGGGGAAGAAGAUGAAGAUGGGGGGUGG
rnacentral:lncRNA from 1 species